rnacentral:rRNA from 1 species
AUUGAACGCUGGCGGCAUGCCUUACACAUGCAAAUCGAACGGUAACGGGCCUUCGGGUGCCGACGAGUGGCGAACGGGUGAGUAAUACAUCGGAACGUGCCCGAUCGUGGGGGAUAACGAGGCGAAAGCUUUGCUAAUACCGCAUACGAUCUACGGAUGAAAGCAGGGGACCGCAAGGCCUUGCGCGGACGGAGCGGCCGAUGGCAGAUUAGGUAGUUGGUGGGAUAAAAGCUUACCAAGCCGACGAUCUGUAGCUGGUCUGAGAGGAUGAUCAGCCACACUGGGACUGGGACACGGCCCAGACUCCUACGGGAGGCAGCAGUGGGGAAUUUUGGACAAUGGGCGCAAGCCUGAUCCAGCCAUGCCGCGUGCAGGAUGAAGGCCUUCGGGUUGUAAACUGAUUUUGUACGGAACGAAAAGCCUUCUUUUAAUACAGGAGGGUCAUGACGGUACCGUAAGAAUAAGCACCGGCUAACUACGUG